CGCGCGGCGGGCGGGGCGGGGGCACGGGGGGAGGAAAGUAGGGGAUCGCAAGACCUCUCACUAUUGGAGCGGCCGAUGUCUGAUUAGCUAGUUGGCGGGGUAAAAGCCCACCAAGGCGACGAUCAGUAGCUGGUUUGAGAGAACGACCAGCCACACUGGGACUGAGACACGGCCCAGACUCCUACGGGAGGCAGCAGUGGGGAAUUUUGGACAAUGGGGGCAACCCUGAUCCAGCCAUGCCGCGUGCGGGAAGAAGGCCUUCGGGUUGUAAACCGCUUUUGUCAGGGAAGAAAUGGACUUUUCUAAUACAAGAGUUCGAUGACGGUACCUGGAGAAUAAGCACCGGCUAACUACGUGCCAGCAGCCGCGGUAAUACGUAGGGUGCAAGCGNNNAUCGGAAUUACUGGGCGUAAAGCGUGCGCAGGCGGUUUGCAAGUCAGA
rnacentral:rRNA from 1 species